AUCUGCCCUAUAUUUAUGUCAUACUAACCCGGGUUCGAUCCUUUCAUUUGCAUUAUCUUUUUAUUUUUUACGAAAAAAUAAAUGAGAUGACUUGACAAUUUCGAAUUUUCUGAUUGGACGAUUUUUUGUGCCUACGUGGACACUCUAAAAGGGGCUUAUAUCCCCUUUUAGUAUAGUAUAGAUUAAAAAGGGAAAAAAUAAUUAACACGGUUAAUGGGUAUGACUUCCCUUUACCCUAAUUUUUUUACCCCCUCUUCUCCGCCGAAGCUUUAUUUCACUCCAUCCAUGGUGAUUUAGUGUUCUUGGAGAAAAUCAUUGUUUCGUCGGACCUUUCGUCUCUAACUUCGUUUUUGUCAUCCUCCCCUUCGUUCUCACACACGGAACAACGAAAUCGAAGUGUUCUUCCGCAAACAGUUUCGUCGGACGGUUUGGUUCAUUACGAAAUUGAAGUGUUCUUUCUUCAAUUUCAUCUGAAUCUCAUGUUUCUUCACACUAGGUUGAUUAAUCAUCUUAUACAUGAACAGAAACUGAAUAUGGUUAUUUCUGCUGUCAAAAGAGAGAAGGACUUUUUAUCUAAAAGUAGAGAAGUCUCGUGCCAUGACCGAGAUUGAUGAACGAAUGAAGAAGAAGUGAAAGAUUCAAGAAGAAUCAGGCAGCAAAGCUGAACCAGCACAAGUCUUCCCACCUAGGUGGUUCGUCAGUUCAGACAGAAGAUAGCAAUAAAAAAUGAGGUGUCUCAGAGAAAACCUGGCCUCUCCACAGAUGUUCUAGCAUCGGUUUUCGGCGGUUCUUAGAAGAUUAAGAAGAGGCAUGUGAAGCUAUUGCAGGUUGAUCAAAGGCUUUAAGUUUUUGAAGAGGCAUGUGAAGAUAUUGCACAUCGAACGUUCCAAACCACGAAACAGACAUGGCUAAAUUUUAAUAUAUUGCACACUUGGCCCCUGAGAUUAAUUCCUUUCUUAUUAUUUCCCCAUAACCUUUAUUUUGAAAAUUAUUCCUCGAUUUCGCCCCAAAACUUUUGGUUCAGAAAAUAUCUUUAAUGUUCGCCCCAUAACUUUUAAAUUUUACGGAAAUAUCUUUAUGAUUUCGCCUUAAAUUUUAAACGUUCACUUUUGAUUCUAUUAUACGAAAAUACAAUAUAUACAAAACUCAGAAAUUUAUCGUGGAGCAAUCCAAGAUUAGAUUUAAAUUUUUUAUUAUACUUGCUAGUAGUAAGUUAGUAUACAUAUCAAAGUAGUGUGAAUCAUAUGUGGUCUAGUGGUUUCUGUGUAUAAUUUUCUCUUGAAUAACUCGGGUUCGAGCGGAGGAAAGAACAAUUUUGAUGAUUUUUAUGACUUAGGAAAGAAUAUACACUUCGAGAAUUAGAUUAGAUUUUGUGUAGAAUUAGGAAACAUCUUUAACCAAAUAUGAAAGUUUCCAUAUUUUAUGGAUUUGCCUAGAAUAUAUAUCAUAGCUUACGCAGAACACAAUAGAGUAGAUGAGAAACAUAUUAUUCCUUAAGCGCCACAUAAGGUAAAAAGCAGAACAUGUUAUGGCACAAAAUAUGGAUAAGGUAUAUCACUGCGUUGUGGCUAUAUGUCGUUAUCAAGUUGUUGGUAUACUGAAGACAUCUUUCUUAAUUAUAACGUUUCAAAAAAUAGCUGCGUUAUGAUAUAUAAGAAAGUAUAGUUUACGUUGUAUACCCAAGAUAUAUCUAUGUAUAAAACUUAGUAUCCGAUUUCUAGACUAAGUAGAUGACCAUAAUGAGUAUUCUAAAUGUAUCUAGAAGAUAAAAUAAAAUAUGAUUCCACUUAAAAAAAAAAACUUUUAAACAUAUAUAUUGUCAUACUUAUGUUUCCAAUAGUUUUCAUAUUUUUUAAUAAUUUUUAAAUUCAAUUUAUUAUUUUUCUAAUAAAAUAAAGAUAAAAUAUGUCCAGAAUUGCCCAAAAUAUCAGAAGUCCUAGUGUGACAAAUAAAAGUUUAAAGUGUCUUAUUUUUCCAAUUUUCCUAAUAAAUAUUCAUAGUUUUCAUCACAUGCACUAUCAACCAAGUUUUACAAUUACCAAAAAAAAAACUGAAAGAAGAUGCGAAUAAAUCAAUCUUGGAACAACACUAAUACCACCAAUCUCCUAGCACCACCAAUAAAACCUAAACCAUUUAAUUAAAUUUUAAA